AUCCAGCUGACGAGUCUCAAAUAGGAGGAAACGCGCCUUGUCCUGGUU
rnacentral:hammerhead_ribozyme from 1 species